GUGACGCGGAGGGAUCAUUACAGAGUUAUCCAACUCCCAAACCCAUGUGAACUUAUCUCUUUGUUGCCUCGCCGCAAGCUACCCGGGACCUCGCGCCCCGGGCGGCCCGCCGGCGGACAAACCAAACUCUGUUAUCUUAGUUGAUUAUCUGAGUGUCUUAUUUAAUAAGUCAAAACUUUCAACAACGGAUCUCUUGGUUCUGGCAUCGAUGAAGAACGCAGCGAAAUGCGAUAAGUAAUGAGAAUUGCAGAAUUCAGUGAAUCAUCGAAUCUUUGAACGCACAUUGCGCCCAUUAGUAUUCUAGUGGGCAUGCCUGUUCGAGCGUCAUUUCAACCCCUAAGCACAGCUUAUUGUUGGGAAUCUACGCCCUAGUAGUUCCUCAAAGACAUUGGCGGAGUGGCAGUAGUCCUCUGAGCGUAGUAAUUCUUUAUCUCGCUUUUGUUAGGUGCUGCCUCCCCGGCCGUAAAACCCCCAAUUUUUUCUGGUUGACCUCGGAUCAGUAGGAAUACCCGCUGAACUUAAGCAUUUCAAUAAGCGGAGGAAAAGAAACCAACGGGAUUCCCCUAGUAACGGCGAGUGAAGCGGGAACAGCUCAAUUUGAAAUCUGGCCCUCGGGUCCGAGUU
rnacentral:rRNA from 1 species